AAAGGCCAAUCAAACCGGGAGAUAGCUGGUUCUCCCCGAAAGCUAUUUAGGUAGCGCCUCGUGAAUUCAUCUCCGGGGGUAGAGCACUGUUUCGGCAAGGGGGUCAUCCCGACUUACCAACCCGAUGCAAACUGCGAAUACCGGAGAAUGUUAUCACGGGAGACACACGGCGGGUGCUAACGUCCGUCGUGAAGAGGGAAACAACCCAGACCGCCAGCUAAGGUCCCAAAGUCAUGGUUAAGUGGGAAACGAUGUGGGAAGGCCCAGACAGCCAGGAUGUUGGCUUAGAAGCAGCCAUCAUUUAAAGAAAGCGUAAUAGCUCACUGGUCGAGUCGGCCUGCGCGGAAGAUGUAACGGGGCUAAACCAUGCACCGAAGCUGCGGCAGCGACGCUUAUGCGUUGUUGGGUAGGGGAGCGUUCUGUAAGCCUGUGAAGGUGUGCUGUGAGGCAUGCUGGAGGUAUCAGAAGUGCGAAUGCUGACAUAAGUAACGAUAAAGCGGGUGAAAAGCCCGCUCGCCGGAAGACCAAGGGUUCCUGUCCAACGUUAAUCGGGGCAGGGUGAGUCGACCCCUAAGGCGAGGCCGAAAGGCGUAGUCGAUGGGAAACAGGUUAAUAUUCCUGUACUUGGUGUUACUGCGAAGGGGGGACGGAGAAGGCUAUGUUGGCCGGGCGACGGUUGUCCCGGUUUAAGCGUGUAGGCUGGUUUUCCAGGCAAAUCCGGAAAAUCAAGGCUGAGGCGUGAUGACGAGGCACUACGGUGCUGAAGCAACAAAUGCCCUGCUUCCAGGAAAAGCCUCUAAGCAUCAGGUAACAUCAAAUCGUACCCCAAACCGACACAGGUGGUCAGGUAGAGAAUACCAAGGCGCUUGAGAGAACUCGGGUGAAGGAACUAGGCAAAAUGGUGCCGUAACUUCGGGAGAAGGCACGCUGAUAUGUAGGUGAAGUCCCUUGCGGAUGGAGCUGAAAUCAGUCGAAGAUACCAGCUGGCUGCAACUGUUUAUUAAAAACACAGCACUGUGCAAACACGAAAGUGGACGUAUACGGUGUGACGCCUGCCCGGUGCCGGAAGGUUAAUUGAUGGGGUCAGCGCAAGCGAAGCUCUUGAUCGAAGCCCCGGUAAACGGCGGCCGUAACUAUAACGGUCCUAAGGUAGCGAAAUUCCUUGUCGGGUAAGUUCCGACCUGCACGAAUGGCGUAAUGAUGGCCAGGCUGUCUCCACCCGAGACUCAGUGAAAUUGAACUCGCUGUGAAGAUGCAGUGUACCCGCGGCAAGACGGAAAGACCCCGUGAACCUUUACUAUAGCUUGACACUGAACAUUGAGCCUUGAUGUGUAGGAUAGGUGGGAGGCUUUGAAGUGUGGACGCCAGUCUGCAUGGAGCCGACCUUGAAAUACCACCCUUUAAUGUUUGAUGUUCUAACGUGGACCCGUGAUCCGGGUUGCGGACAGUGUCUGGUGGGUAGUUUGACUGGGGCGGUCUCCUCCUAAAGAGUAACGGAGGAGCACGAAGGUUGGCUAAUCCUGGUCGGACAUCAGGAGGUUAGUGCAAUGGCAUAAGCCAGCUUGACUGCGAGCGUGACGGCGCGAGCAGGUGCGAAAGCAGGUCAUAGUGAUCCGGUGGUUCUGAAUGGAAGGGCCAUCG
rnacentral:rRNA from 1 species